GUUUAUGGGUGGGCCAUGAUGGGGAUGCGCGCGAGCGCAUGCCGGUUUCCUACUUACCGGUUCGCCAACCUUGUCAUGUGCCCGCCCACCUCA
rnacentral:antisense_RNA from 1 species